UACGUAGGGGGCAAGCGUUGUCCGGAAUCAUUGGGCGUAAAGAGCGUGUAGGCGGUUCGGAAAGUCUGGUGUGAAAUCUCGGGGCUCAACCCUGAGCGGUCACUGGAUACUGUCGAACUUGAGUCCGGAAGAGGAGAGUGGAAUUCCUGGUGUAGCGGUGAAAUGCGCAGAUAUCGGGAAGAACACCCGUGGCGAAGGCGGUUCUCUGGGACGGUACUGACGCUGAGACGCGAAAGCGUGGGGAGCGAACAGG
rnacentral:rRNA from 1 species